CCAUCUUAACCGUUGCUCCCUAUCUUUGAUCCAAACACAUGCUUUAUCAAUCAGCGUCUCCGAGUCGACAGGGAGGCAUGAAUUCUUCAACCAGACCGGAGUCCCGGACCUCUGAGAGAGUAAACGGGGAUUUUUGGACUAAAUCCCGGCUGUGUUGCAGAUGCGCAUAUGGAAUAGAAUAGUUGUCAUGAUGACCCGUCCAGGCUUCGCCAAGCUGAACCAUCACUUCUCUGACUUGUCACUUUGUUAUUCUCCCUUUCGCAAACACCAACCAGACUGUCCGAUGUUAUCAGGCAUCCUAAUUCUUGGCACCAGAAGGGCGUCCAGGAUAGGAUCCGGGUGGGGGUGGGGGGUCUGGGGUUCGUCCUUACGUGAAGCCUCUUCAGCAAACAAGAUGAGUGAUGACGUGUAAAAGGAUGUGCUCUUGCAACCCGAGAUGUAAAAGAUGGUGCGGGGAUAACGUGCGACUAGGAGGGAUCACGGAUGAGCUGGAGGAUACCCCAGCUGGCUUUUGGCAAGACAAGUGGGGUUGGACUGCUCGCCAAUCAAUCACAGGGAACACCUAUGGUGUUGGAACGACAGCAGCAACACCUGCACUCCAACAGCAGUAUGGCAGCGGGGUCACACCCUCUCCUACGAUUCGAAUACAAACACUGGCUGGCAGAUGGUGUGCAAAGCCUUCAGCAGCCAAGAUGAAUGUUGGCUUGCCGUCGAGCUGCACUCAUGUAGGCAUGCACGUCCACACUACAUGCUAAUGGUAGGCAACCGGUUAAAAUGAUGCUGAAAUAAA